rnacentral:rRNA from 1 species
GACGAACGCUGGCGGCGUGCCUAACACAUGCAAGUCGAGCGGUGAUGUAACGAGGAAGUUUUCGGAUGGAAUCGAUACAUUCUAGCGGCGGACGGGUGAGUAACGCGUGAGCAACCUGCCUUUCACAGGGGGAUAACGGAUCGAAAGAUUCACUAAUACCGCAUGAGACCACGAUACCGAGUGGUAUAGGGGUCAAAGGAGCAAUCCGGUGAAAGAUGGGCUCGCGUCCGAUUAGGUAGUUGGUGGGGUAAUGGCUCACCAAGCCAAUGAUCGGUAGACGACCUGAGAGGGUGAUCGGCCACACUGGAACUGAGAGACGGUCCAGACUCCUACGGGAGGCAGCAGUGGGGAAUAUUGGGCAAUGGGGGAAACCAUGACCCAGCAACGCCGCGUGAGGGAAGAAGGUCUUCGGAUCGUAAAACUCUGUCCUUGGUGAAGAAAAGGACGGUAGCCUAGGAGGAAGCCCCGGCUAACUACGUGCCAGCCGCCGCCGUAACAC